rnacentral:miRNA from 1 species
GGAUUCUCUGUGUAGCUUUGGUGCCUAUCCUGGUAUUCACUCUGGAGACAAGGCUGGCCUCGAACUCACAGAGAUCCGCCUGCCUCUGCCUCCCGAGUGCUGGGAUUAAAGGCAUGCGCCAGCAAUGCCCG